rnacentral:misc_RNA from 1 species
AUAAACAUCACUACACGCUAUCACCAACUCCUUUGGUGACGCCGAUUGGUCAGUUGAAUUAGGGAGGUUCUCGAUUGCGUCGGUGGCAGUUACGCAUUGCAAAGAUUGCAGUGAAAAUGGUGUAGCGACUGUGUAGCGAUUGUAUGGAAACCAGGCUUUAGUGUAAACGCGCUUAGAUUGCAGCACGAGAAUUUACACAAAAUUAAGAAGCACGAACGAAUUGUUCGAAAUAUAGAACCAGGCCGGCAUCAUAUAUCUUCGGAAGUUCGUAAGUGUUGGUCAUUUCAGAAUACUGCUCGUGAUGAGAUGUUUUCUAGGAUCUACGUUGCUCCUGUUUCCCAUCUUUGAUUGUUUAUCGAUGCCUCUCAACUUGGAACCAAAAAGUAUCGCUUACCAGGAUGAAUCGCUAGUAUGCAAUUACUCGCAUCUGACUAAUGAGACUGGACUAUAUUUUACGGGACCAGACCCUCCAAAUCCUUACGUAAUAGAAUAUGGUGUUGAGGACGCAUUCUUGUCAUGUUGCGCUAUGAAUUAUCACCAAAUCGAAUGGUUCCUCGACGGUAAAAUAAUCAACGGCGCACCAUUUACAUUCAGAGAAAAUGAUCAGGUGUUGUCCAUCUCAGGAAUUAAAGAGCUAAGCGGAAACUACAAGUGUGUUGUCAGUAGUGCCAAUACCACUUUGGAACGUGUUGUGGAACUGGAAGUAGAACCAAAAUAUUCUGGAAAGCCUCUCCGUUUAUAUAAUGAAAGUUGCAUUUCGCAAAAGGCCCACAUUGGUGAUAACGUCACAUUUUACUGUGAGUUUGAGAUCUCUGACUACCAGAUUUGUUCAGACUUUGUAUGGAUGAAAAAUUAUUCAUCUACUAUCUAUCAUCUGGGAUUAGGUGAUUCACAUCCACGCUUCAGUAGAUAUACAACAUUUGUUGUACAGCAGGAAAGUUGUAACUACGGAAAGAAAAGAACCCGUGGUACACAUCUUUACAUCUAUAAUGUAUCAGAGGAAGCGUUUGGUGAAUACAUCAUAGGAAUUAUGCGAGAGCAAUUCUACUCAUAUUCUAUUUCACUGAUUCACUCUAAACACAAGAAAGACGAAACCAAUAUUAUAAAUGAUACAAAGAACAUCCCAACGUAUAUCAUCUUGAUUUCGUUUGGGAUUCUAUUGCUAAUUCUGGUAUCAAUAUUUAUAUAUUUUUGCUGGAGAAGAAUCCCAAGUCCGAUAGAAUCAGAAGAGAAGAUGAAACCGGAGGCCGAACACUGUUUGGAAACAGAUCCGAUAUUUAAGGACAUUGAAAUUUUGUUUGAGGAGCAGGUUGUAUGGGAUCAAAAGAAAUUAAUCGGGAAAGGCCGUUUUGGGAACGUGUUUCAGUGUCCGGUCUUCGAUGUCCUUAUAAGCAACGACUACAGUAACGUCGCAAUCAAAACUCCCAAAGAACACGCUUCUGCAGCUGAAAAGGACGACUUAAAGAACGAAAUAGAGAUACUUAUGCAGCUCAGAAAUCACUUUAACAUUAUCGAAUUAAUUGCAUGUCACACCAAGAAGGAUCCGAUCAUGCUGAUUACAGAGAUUUUACCAUACGGCUCCCUACAGCAGUUUUUACGAACCAGUUCAAAGAUGCAAGAGCUAGGCGAAUUCUGCGACCCAGUGUACAACAUUGACAAACCAAGUACUCUGUACGAUAUGAGUAGACAAAUUGCAAAUGGAAUGAGUUAUGUGGCUGAUAUGAAGAUAGUUCAUGGUGAUCUUGCGGCCCGCAACGUUUUAGUCGGACACGACCUUAACAUGAAAAUCGCAGAUUUCGGUUUAGCGAAAGAUGUUUACGAGACCGGUUACAUGCGACUGGACGAUGGUGAAAUACCUGUAAAAUGGUACAGCAUUGAAACGAUUUUGGGAAACAUUGUCUCAUCUAAAAGUGACAUAUGGUCUUUUGGCGUCCUUCUAUACGAGAUUUUCUCCGAUGGUCGAUCGCCGUACCCGGGUGUUAUUGUGCAUACCUUGCCAGAGAUGUUGAAAAAAGGAUAUAGGAUGUCUAGGCCUGUCGAUUGUCCUGUUAUUGCGUAAGCCGUCAUUUUGUACAUAACCUCCAUCUGUCUACACCCUUCUGGCUAUUAAUCCACUCAUUCAUCCAUCUAUCUAUCUAUCACCCAUCCGCUGAGCAGAAAAAUACACCCAGAUACAACCUUAUGAUGAAGUGCUGGGAAGAAGAUCCGUCCAGUCGUCCAUCAUUCCAUGAUCUUUACAAAAGAAUUGACUCAAUUCUUGAAGACGUUACGUCACAAGGCAGUCCAUAUAUGAGGUU